UACGGGGGGGAGCAAGCGUUGUUCGGAUUUACUGGGCGUAAAGGGCGCGUAGGCGGCCACCGCAAGUCGACUGUGAAAUCUCCGGGCUUAACCCCGGAAAGGUCAGCCGAUACUGCGGGGCUAGAGUGCAGAAGGGGCAACUGGAAUUCUCGGUGUAGCGGUGAAAUGCGUAGAUAUCGAGAGGAACACCUGCGGCGAAGGCGGGUUGCUGGGCUGACACUGACACUGAGGCGCGAAAGCGUGGGGGAGCGAACAGG
rnacentral:rRNA from 1 species